UAGAUACAACCCAAGAGGGGGGGUGAAUUGGGUCUUUUAAAACUUUUAUGCUACUUCUACUACUUUUUGAUUAACUAUGCUAAGUUGUGUAGAUGCACAGUGAAAGUUAAACUUAGCAAGGGUUUGAUGUAUAGACUUCGACUUGAUUAAAUAUGCUUGCAACUAAAGGAUGUGCGGAUAAGAAUUAAGCAAGCAGUUUAUCUAAGUAAGUAAGUGUGUUAGUUAGACAAUAACUAGAGGCAUUACAAACACAAAGGACAUAUAGUGGUUCGGUGCACCCCAGCACCUACAUCCACUCCCCAAGACCUCUUGAGAAUUUCACUAUAAUCCUACCGAUUACAGCCGGUUGUUUUACAAGCUCACAACCCAACUUGUUGUUUUACGAGUGCACAACGAACUCGGUCGGUUUUUCCAGGCUCACCGACUAGAACCAACCCCGAUUGUGUUCCCGGGCUCACAAUCAAACCCUUACACGUUGGUUUUACCCUCGGCUCACCAACAAACCUAAACCCCGUUGGUUUUCCCUUUGGCUCACCAACAAACCUUUAACCCCUUGAUUCAAUUCCUUGAUUGAAUCAAGUUACAAGAUAUUAAAACAAAGAAUAAAAACAAAUCAAAGCUUCUUAAACAAGCAGAUAUGACAAUAUAAACAAAUAGAG
rnacentral:lncRNA from 1 species